rnacentral:rRNA from 1 species
CGUUCCCGGGCCUUGUACACACCGCCCGUCAAGCCAUGGAAGUUGGGAGUACCUGAAGUCGAUCACCGCAAGGAGUCGCCUAGGGUUAAAAUCAAUGACUGGGCU